GCCACUAUCCCUACCAUCGAAAGUUGAUAGGGCAGAAAUUUUGAAUGAACCAUCGCCGGCGCAAGGCCAUGCGAUUCGUUAAGUUAUUAUGAUUCACCAAGGAGCCCCGAAGGGCGUUGGUUUUUUAUCUAAUAAAUACACCCCUUCCUGAAGUCGGGGUUUUUAGCAUGUAUUAGCUCUAGAAUUACCACAGGUAUCCAUGUAGUAAGGUACUAUCAAAUAAACGAUAACUGAUUUAAUGAGCCAUUCGCAGUUUCACAGUAUAAAGUGCUUAUACUUAGACAUGCAUGGCUUAAUCUU
rnacentral:rRNA from 1 species